CAGUGGUGGAAAACCCAAAAAUGGAGUGGUACCCUUGGAUUUGGACACCUCAAGCAAGCUCCGUGAAGAGAUGAUUUAUGAAGAAUGGAAAUGGGAUUGUGUGUGUUUUGUGGUUGCAAAUUCUUGUGAUGGAAUGUGAUUGAUGAAGACAAGGUUGAAAAUCUUGUUGUUGAGGAAAGUAGAGUCAUGGAUAUCGACAAAAAUGAUUCAACAAGUUUUGGAUCAUGUUGUUGAUACCGAGAUUGAUGAUGAUGUUUGGUAUUGGUAUUUUUCUCUUGGAGGACAAUACCUGUUAUUGAUGAUUCAUAUAGCAGAAGAAAAAUUAUGUUGUUGUGGGAAGAUAAUAUAGAGAGAGCAUUCUGAUGGAAAGAUUGCAUCAACAGAGAAAAUGGCUGAACGCAUAUGGGAGCCAGGGUUACCAACUAAAGAAACGUCAGAUACAAGACUGAUCAGAUAACUUCAUAUUCAAGUUAAGCAACUGCUUUCACAGUUUCAGGAAGUGCCACGAUUACUAAUUAGUGCAUCUGAGUUUGGCGCUAAGAUUCAUAAACCUCCUGAUGUAAAGGAGAAGCUACUAAGCGAUGAAACCUUGGGAAACCUCAGAAGAGUGAAAGAGCUUAUGGCUGAUGUGAGAUUCAACCUUGUUCCUUCCAAGGAAGAUUACAUUCCGUUGAAAAAUGUGGUUAAAUUGAAGCAUACUAGAACUGGAUUUCUCUAUGGAUCAUACUACGCAGAACAGAGCUGCGACUGUGACGAUGUGAAGCAACUGAUACAUGGUGGUGAUAUGGAGGAGUAUUACAUGAAGCACAGGGGGAAGUCUAAGCAAUCAAGGACAGAUUCAGUUUUUAAGAGAAAUAAUCAUUCUAACUUUGCAAACUUAGUACUGAAACCAUCACUGAUGGAUUUUGGUUUUGAUGGCAAUGGAUUCUGCAUCGACUCAAAUGGGAAAUUGCUACCUCCUAUCAAGAUGCUUGCUGAGGUUAUGAGUGGACUCUUUUUGCUCCUUAAGCUCGGCAUGAGAAGUAAAUGCAAAGGAGACAGCCUAAUGAAGGCAGUUCGAGACGUGUUGGUUGCACAAAGGACUGUUGGUGAUUUAGCUAACAAGUGGCUACUGAACACUGAAGAUGGUACCAGCAGAGUUAUUGCAGUAUGGGAUUUUUUUUCAUCUUCAGGGAAUUGGUUAUUGCAGGCUUCGACACAGGCUGUUUUUAGCUAGCUGGACAUUCAAAAGGAUUUACAAAGAGAAUUCAUGGCCAUUUACGCAUGGUCAUUUACGAAGAGUCUUUAGUUAAUAUCACAACUAAGCACAAGAUAUUAACUGAGACGUCUAAAAAUGAGAACGAGGACAUGUGGUCUUAUAUGCGGAGCAUUCUCAAGGAACUAUGUGUAGCUGAGUUUGAAGUGGCAACAAAGACAGUGAAGAAGAGCCUUGAAGGGUUGUGUGUAAUCACGGGAAGAAUCGCAAGCUGCUGUCUUUUGAGAAUCUUGGUGUUGGCAUAUUUUAUCAGUCCAAUGAAGAGGGUUCUGUUGAAUUUUGUUGGAAAGAACAUCCUCCAGACAAAGUUACAAAAUGGGAUGCAGGCUUUACUUCACUACGGAGACUGGAGAGGAACUAGUACAACCACCAUAUGUUACUUCACUUCUCAGGUCUGGAACUAUGCACUCAAAGCUUAUUUCCAAAGGCUUUUCAACGUUAAGAUAGACAAGUACGCCUAUUGGACGUGGUUCAUGGCUAACAUGACAUUUGGAGAAACAUCUGGUGCAAGUUGGCUUCGUCCUCAGUACAAGCUGUCAAAAUUCUCAUCCUUGAGGACAAUUAUAUGAUUUCAGGUUGAUUAGAUGAUCCUUCUCUCCCUCUUGGUCAUCUCUUGAUCAGAUCUCCCUUCUUUCUUAGUUACUGUCUCAUUCUGAUGACUGAAUCGGGUUCGAGUCUCUAGAAGCAGAUAUUCUGUAUUUGAUGAUCAAUUCUAUUCCCUUCUGGAUAGAGUCUGGUGGCCUGAAGGAAUGGAUCCUGUUAUUUCUCUCCCUCCACACUUCAUAGAUCGAUGCUUGCCAUGCAAGGAGAGUAAGAUGAAAAAUCCAGCUUGAGAGAGAGCGCCGACCAAACUGAGCUACUGAAGGAGCACCCAAAGAGUUUCCUACUCCGUAAACCCCAAGAGAGUAUCAACUGAGUCGCCAAGGGACAAUGUUAUCAUGUGGAUUUGGAGUUCUUCCAGCCUAGGAGAUCUUUCUGCAGGCAUUAUCCAACCGCCAUUAGACCAGAGAGAGUGAAGAGCAGCAGAGCGGGGGAUACCAGUAAUUUGGGGACCAUUAGCGCCAAUGUAGUUAAAGAGAGGGCGAAGGUCUGUCCAUGGAUCAGUCCAGAACCAACAUGUCUGCCCAUUACCAGUGCUAUCUUUGAUGACGUUUUGGUGCAUCCAUUCAACCCAAAUGGAGUCUGUUUUGAAGAGAAUGAAGCCACAACAGCUUAAGAGAGCAUGUGCGGUUCCACAUCUUUGAACUCUUAAAGCCCAGUCCACCUUCACGCUUGGGAGAAGUGACCAAUUCCCAGGAGACUUUUGCUGAGAACCUCCCCUCCAGAGAGCCCUUCCACAGGUAAGCAUUGCACAUUGACUCUAUCUUGUUAAUACAUUCCUGGGGCAGUAUGUAAGCUUGGCACCAGAAGUUAGUAAUGCACCGUUGAUAUCAACACUUGUCUGAAUCAGAAGCGAGUCUAUCUUGUUAAAACUCGGUUUUCUUGCAACCUUGGUUUUAAAUGUCGUGUGGCGAGGAUUGGCGAAA